UAGUAGCCUGAUGGAUCGAAAGAUGAAGGGUGAGAAGUUGGAUGGAAAUCUGGUAAAAGGAUUCGGCAUGUUGCGUAGGGAUAAUCAACCACGGAGGGCGAAGAGAUUGUCCUUAUCCUCACAAGGCUAAAAGAGGAGAUAGUGCUUCUGAUAAUUCAGAAGGGCGUCGUGAAACACAUUUUGUGGCUCGUCUGUAACUCCCGGAGGUGAGAACACCUCUUUGUACACGGGGCGAUAUAGGAGUCUAGAAGACUGGCGUGUACCUACA
rnacentral:sRNA from 12 species